rnacentral:lncRNA from 1 species
CUAUGCCCAAAGAACCUGCCGCCCGGAAGCAACAACUUCCAUCAAACGGCAAAGAAAAGUUCCUAGGGAGAGAGCUUAGCGCCCAAGCAGCCUGCGCUAGUGCCGAGACAGAACAGGAGAGCAGCAGACAGUGCAGGCCGGGCCAGCCUGCAGGCGGUGGCUGCGGCGGCGCUGGUAGGGCAGACCCGGGCUCCGGAAGGCUCCAGGUCCGGGGGUGGCCGCCGGCCUUGGGCACAGUGCCGGCUUUCGCACCCCUCCCCACGACCGCGAGCAGUGGGCGGAGAGAUUAGAGCAAAGGAAAAGACGGACAAUGCCUGGCCGGGCCGGCGACCUCCGUGCGGCCCCCGCCGGCCCGUCCCUACUCGGGCGGCCAGCUACCGGGCUAAGUUUCCUAAGCCCUGCCUCCAGCCCCGGCGGCGAAAGCUCGGCCGCCGCCUUCCUCCCAGCCGGGCGGUUCCCGCGAGUCUGCGAGGAGGAGGCAGCGUGCGAGCCGAGCCGGGCGCGCAAGGAGGCGGCGCGCGAGGUAAGCGGACGCGCGGGGAGCCGGCGGCGCGCGCCGAAUGAGGCCGGGCGCGCGCGGGGGGACCCGGCACGAAGAGGAAGGAGCGCGGUGGGGAGUUGGGAGCGCGGGGCUCCCCCGGGACCCCCCGCAGCUCCGACGGGGUUUCAGUUGACUCGGACUGCACCGCAGCGAGAGUCCGUUAGGAGUCUCCGCCUGGGCGCGCAGCUGGCCGACCAUCCCGGCCCGCCUCCCCCUCGCUCCCACCAGGAAGGGCAGCCGGGCGAGAGCCAGUGACCUCUCCUCCCGCCAGAGAAAAGAUUCCCUACAACAGAGAGUCACCUAGACAUGAAAGAAAUUCUGCUUCUACAACAAUUGACAAAAAGUAGACAGAUUCAUGUUUGACCACACUGGAUACUGGAUCAAGAUGCUGGAGAUAGACCUGAGAUUAAAGAACAAAGAAAUCUUAUCCACUAAACAGUAUUGAUUAGAACCAAAAUAUUUUGUCAUUGGAGGCCUUAUGUUACCCUUAAAAAUAAACUUUCGGAUAUUUUGGAUUUUUUUUUUUUGGCUUUUUGUGUGUGUGUGUGUGUGUGUGUGUGUGUGUGUGUGUGUGUGUUACUGGAAACUGAACCCAGGUGCACUCUACCACUGAGCUACAUCCCUAGAUUUUUCAUUCUUAAAUGGCCUUGCUAACUUGCACAAGCUGGCCUUGAAAUUGUAAUCCACCUGCCUUAACCUUCUGAGUAGCUCAUUACAGACAUUUACCACUGCUUCCAGCUUGCUUUGCAUUUUAAUUAGAAAGCUGGACAAACCAUUUGUCAUUGUUCACCAGGAAUAGUUCUACAUUAAGAGCCUAGGCUAAAUCACUCAUC